rnacentral:rRNA from 1 species
CCUACGGGAGGCUGCAGUGGGGGAUAUUGCACAAUGGGGGGAACCCUGAUGCAGCGACGCCGCGUGGGUGAAGGAGUGCUUCGGCAUGUAAAGCCCUAUCGGCAGGGAAGAAGCAAGACGGUACCUGACUAAGAAGCCCCGGCUAACUACGUGCCAGCAGCCGCGGUAAUACGUAGGGGGCGAGCGUUAUCCGGAUUCACUGGGUGUAAAGGGAGCGUAGACGGCCAUGCAAGCCAGGGGUGAAAGCCCGGGGCCCAACCCCGGGACUGCCCUUGGAACUGCAUGGCUGGAGUGCGGGAGGGGCAGGCGGAAUUCCUGGUGUAGCGGUGAAAUGCGUAGAUAUCAGGAGGAACACCGGCGGCGAAGGCGGCCUGCUGGACCGCGACUGACGUUGAGGCUCGAAAGCGUGGGGAGUGAACAGGAUUAGAUACCCGUGUAGUC